AUCACAGCUCUUUUUUCGUAAUUUCAUGUACUUUCACAUAUGUUACAGUCAGCAAAGAAUCAAGAUUUGCUGUUGUUAAGAAGCUUGUUCUUGCCCUCCAGGAUCAUCUCUCUCUGUCUCUGUCCGCGCGCCCAGAGAAAAAGAACGUUGAAGGAAAAACCCCAAGUAAAAAAAAAAAGAAAGAAAGAAAGGAAGGAAGAAGAAGUAUUUGGGGGGACUCUGACUCUCUGAGAGAUGUCGAAGAAGUUGGCGACGAGAAGAGAGCUCUUGGACCGAUGGAGAGGCAUCGAGGAAGAAGAAGAAGAUGACGACGGCGAUCAUGACUCCUCCAAACGACGCCGUCUCCACCAUCUUAAGGAGCAAUGGUUUGCAGAUGCAUUUAAUUUCUUAAUUUGCUUCCCAAAAGAUACUCAUAUCUGGUGUGGCUCUUGGGAUUUGAUGGGUCCUCUUUUAGAGACGUUCUACAAUUACUUCAAAGACGAGCAUCCUGAUUCUCCUCUCAAGCAAUUAUGGAAGAGGAUUUCUGAUGAAAUGCGGAAAUGUAUCCAGUGCAUCUCUCAGUACCAUCAAGCCUUAGAAAUGUAUGAUAGGGAGUAUGAGCUAAGUUGCAUUAUCCCCCUUCUUGAUGUGCUGCGAACCCUUGAUGAGCAGAGGGUGACUCAACACUUGAGAGAGAUCAAUGCAAGAAUAGCAAGAGAAGAAUAUGAUCCAGCUCGUGAUAAUGCUGAAGUUGUUAGUGUAAUGUAUGAGAUUUUGAUGUUCCCUAUCCUGUUGGACGAUCAAUCAUUGUUCACUGAAUUCGAAACAUUUAUUGAAGCAAUUGAUAAUAAGCAUGAACUGGCUUUGGAUGGACAACAACAGUUUCCGGGUGUUUAUGCAUUAUUUUUUUUCAAACGAAGAGUGCGUUCUGUUGGUCAUCGUCUUGCUGGGUCUAUGGGAAAAUUGAGGGAGAUCGGUUUAGACUUGGAACCUUUGCAGCCUUUGCUUAAGAAAUUUAUAGGCUUUUUGGAGACAGAAGUUUUGUCACCGACUCCUGAGACUUCAAGGCCAAGAGCAAAGCUGGACCGUGUAUCCAUAUGGCUUGGAAUCAAAUCAUUGCUUGGAUUCUUAGAUCCUCCAACUUUUGAAGAAGGGAUACUAGAACGCUAUCCCAUUUUUCUGGACCUCGUACUCAAUCAUAUCAGUGGUGAUUCAGUUGUAUUUUCUCAUGCAGUUACCUGCUUGAGACUACUCUUUGAAAUGCUUGGUUGUAAACUUUGGUUGAGAUCUACAUUGUCUCCAAGUGUGAUGCGCAACACGCUAUUGGGGCAGUGUUUUCAUACUCAAAAUGAGAAAAGCCAUAAAGACAUUUUUGAUCUUAUUCAGCCUUUUCUGCAGUCUCUUGAAGCUUUGCAAGAUGGGGAACAUGAAAAGCAACGUAGGCAUUUUAUAUAUUUUCUCCUGCACCAAGUGCCAAUGAGCAGUAACUUCAGUGUUUUAACGAGGAAAAAGGCUUGCCAGAUAGCUCUUUUUAUUAUACAAAGAGGUUAUAAGAUGAACCCCCCGUGCCCACCUUCUGAAUGUGCACAUAUGUGGGGCCCUUCUCUCGUGUCAUCCCUGAAGGAUUCUUCACUACACAGUUCUCUGAGGCAACCUGCAUUUGAUCUUAUACAAACUAUUAUAGUGUCUGAUGCUGCUGCCCUUAUAACUUCAAUGCUGAAUUGCAGCACCUCUUGGAGUAUUGACAAAAGCUUGUCUCUGGACUUGGAUGAUGAUGAUCAAUAUGACAGGCUUCCAUUUAUUCCAGAUGGUAGAGAGGAGGAUAAUAGUUCUUGGAGCGAAUUCAGUGCACAAAGCAAAAUUACUUGUCGGGAAUAUCGAGAGUGGAUUUGCAUUCCUAUGUUGUGGAUUGAUGUUUUAGUUGAACUUGAUCCCUCAGUCUUUCCAAUAUCAUUUUCUAAGGCUGUUUUCUGGGCUCGAUCUCGUUUUUCUAUGGUUGAACCCGAAAUCAGUGCAGAAAUGGCACUUCCAUUGAGAACUUGGCUUCAAUCUUCGGUUGAAGAAAUCUCCACUUCAUUUGGUUGGACAAUCCCAACUGGUUCUGAUGAUGGUGGAGAGGGGAAGGAGUCAAAAAACUCAGUAAAAAUAUCAUCAAUGUGUAUUUCUUUAGCAAGAACAUUCAACAGGUUAACUGGACACUUUAUAGAUCAAGUGGGGCAAAGAGAAAUUGGGAAACAAUGGAGUUGGGAGCCAAGGAUGUCUGAAAGCUUGAUACUUUCACUCCUGGAUCCUAAUGACAAUAUCAGGCAAUUUGGGAAAUGUAUUUUGGAACAAGUUUCGGAUACACGUGGUCUUUCUUGUGGCUUGAAGUUCCUCUGCUCAAGUGGAUGCUCGUUGUCUGCCAUUUUUCAGGGUUUCAGGCAUGCUUGUAAAUUGGUUCUACUGGAUUCUGUUUUGGUAAAGUUUCAGACUUUGCAACAUUUCUUUUUCGUUCUACGCAAAUUACUCAAAGGGGUUACCCAAGAAUGGCCAGAAAGUUCAUCUGAUCACUCAAGUAUUGCAAGCUUCUCUUCCCAAGGUGGAUUUUUGAGGCAGCCAUUCUUUGAUACAUUGCCUGUGAAUGCCAAUGGGUAUUCAUCAAAUGUUGACUUAAAAUUGCUGGAAAAGUUCAUUUACUUGCUAUCUGAAACUGCUUGGCCUUCUAUUCGGAGAUGCUUAAUAGAGGGGAAAGCAUUUAUUGAUUACAGUUUCUGUCAGAUGACUUGUGUCCGCUUACUUGAGAUCCUCCCUGUUGUUUUUGAAAUAAUGUACCCGCCAUUGGGUACAAAACAUGAGGAUUCGAGAGUGAUGGUGAAAAGUUCUUGUGACUUCUCAUGGCUUAAUGAUCUCAUGGAUUGGGGAAAGUCAUCACUUAAAGUCGUAACCGUGUAUUGGAAACGGACAGUUUCCAUGUUGCUGUCUUUUCUCAGGGGUUCAUGUAGUAACAGUGCUACAAUAACAAUUGGGACCAUUGAAAAUCUGAUAUCAAGUGAUAAUUUUGCCACGGAUGAAUUGACAGAAACAGUUUCACGCCUUUCUGUUUCGUUAUCGAAGGAAGCUUCUUGUGACAGUGGAAAGACCCCCUAUAUUUCGAGAUCUUUAUUUCCCGAAUUAUUGUCAUUUGAGAGGAAUAGUUCAGUUUCAAAUGAGCAGCCUCCCUCUGUGGAUGACAGUGAAGUGCAGAUCUUGGACUCGGUAACGGGAGCUCACAAAACGGCUGAAGAUAUUCUGAUUGUUCUUUCAGACAGUGAAACAGAGGAACCUAUAUCUGCCAACGAGGUCAUUCUCUCUGAUACUGAGACAGGUCACCUCAUGUUGGAGGACAAGACUAUUGAUCCUGGGAGCAAAUCACAUUUUGACUCUACGAAGAAGAAAGUUUUGGACACCAACACUUCUAAGGAUUUGUUGGAGUCUUUUCAGCAAAAUGACACUACUGAUGGUUCUGUGGUUGCUUCUCGGGAUAAGAGCUUUGAUGGAUUAAAAGGUAAAGGAGCACCCGCUCUCCUCGAAUCAGAAGGUUUAGAUGCUAAGAGGAAAGGAAUACGCUCCAUAUACGAUAAAACUGAUUCCAUUUUAUCCAAGAAUAGAGUUAAUCUCCAUGUUUCAUCCAAUGAAGCUGUCAGGUCCAAGAAUAUGACUCUAAAUUUCAACAGUGCAAUUUCCAAGGCAAGUGACACUGUUUUGAAAGAGAUGGUACAUGAUACUGAAGAUGAUCCAUUUGAGUCUGCUCUAAACUCUGCAAGGCGUCAGCAGUCAUUUAUAGCAAAGUCAAGCACUUCUCUUCCAAAACGGCAAGUCAUUCAACUUAAAUCACAUUUUGAAAUUAGAUCUGGCCGUUUACAUAGACUGGAGGGAGUGAAAAGGUUCAGGCCGCCAAGGCUUGAUGACUGGUAUAGACCCAUUUUGGAAAUUGAUUACUUCGAAACUGUUGGAUUAGCAUCUGCUGGCAAGGAUAGGAGUUGUAUUGUUAGCAAAUUAAAGGAGGUUCCCGUGUAUUUUCAAUCGCCUGAACAGUAUAUAGAGAUUUUUCGGCCGUUGGUUUUGGAGGAGUUCAAAGCACAGUUGCACAGUUCCUUUCUGGAAAUGUCUACAUUGGAAGAGAUGUAUUUUGGCAGUCUAUCUGUGAUGUUGGUCGAGAGAGUUGAUGAUUUUCAUCUGGUUCGAUUUGUCUAUGAUGAUAAUGAUUCUGCUGCUUCUAAAAGCUUUUCAGAAAAUGACCUUGUGUUGUUGACAAAAGAGCCUUUGCAAAAAUCAUCCCAUGAUAUUCAUAUGGUUGGAAAGGUGGAGAGGCGUGAGAGAGACAAUAAGAGAAGACUAACUAUAUUAGUAAUCAGGUUCUAUCUUCAAAAUGGUUCUUCACGAUUAAAUCAAGCUAGAAGGAACCUCAUUGAACGUGGUAAAUGGCACGCAACUCGCUUAAUGAGCAUUACACCUCAACUUAGAGAAUUUCAGGCACUGUCUUCAAUUAAGGAAAUCCCCAUACUUCCAGUUAUUUUGAAGCCCGUCAAUGAUUCUCUUGGUGGUGAUGUAUCCAAGGAAGUGGAUCUGGGUAAGCUUUCCCAACCCUUGCAGCAAGUACUGAAAUCAUCCUUUAAUGACAGUCAACUUCAAGCUAUUGGUGUUGCUGUUGGAUCACAAAGUUUAAAGAAAGAUUUUGAAUUAUCCCUUAUUCAGGGUCCUCCAGGUACUGGCAAGACGCGAACUAUUUUGGCCAUUGUCAGUGGCUUGCUUGCUUCACCUUUACAGAGGAUGGGUAAUGCAAAAAACUUUCUUGAUGGCACUUUGAAAAGAAAUAGUAUGCAGUGCACCAAUUCACGACCACGGAUAAGCCAGACUGCUGCAAUUGCAAAGGCAUGGCAGGAUGCAGCCUUGGCUAGACAAUUGAAUGAGGAUGUUGAAAGAAGCUCAAAAUCCAUGGAAAAUUUGGCAAGAGGAAGGGUGCUUCUAUGCGCUCAGUCAAAUGCUGCGGUUGAUGAGUUAGUAUCGAGAAUUUCUAGUCAAGGUCUUUAUGGCAGCGAUGGAAAGAUUUACAAGCCGUAUCUUGUAAGGGUUGGCAAUGUGAAGACAGUCCAUCCAAAUUCACUACCAGUAUUUAUUGACACACUUGUUGAUCAACGUUUGGUGGAAGAGAGGAUGAAAGAUUGCAAUGAAAAGAAUGAUUCAACUGUGGGCUCUUCAAUUACUUUGCGUUCUAAUCUUGAGAAAAUAGUUGACCGAAUCAGGUUUUACGAAACAAAGCGUGCUAACUUAAGGGAUGGAAAUGCAGACCUUAAGAAUUCUUUGGAAGCUGAUGGUAAUAAGGGGGAUGAUGAGAAAGAAGUGUCUGAUGCAGAAAUAGAGUUGAAGCUAAGAAAACUUUAUGAGCAAAAGAAGCAAAUCUAUAAAGAUCUUAGCAGUGUUCAGACACAGGAGAGGAAAUCUAAUGAAGAAAUGAAAACACUUAGACGUAAGCUUCGGAAGUCUAUUUUGCAGGAAGCUGAGAUUGUGGUAACUACAUUGAGUGGUUGUGGUGGAGACCUCUAUGGAGUGUGUUCUGAGUCUAUGUCAACUAAUAAAUUUGGGAUUCCAUCCGAGCAUACCCUUUUUGAUGCUAUAGUGAUUGAUGAAGCUGCUCAAGCUCUGGAACCUGCUACUCUGAUUCCUCUUCAGCUUUUAAAAUCUAGCGGGACUAAAUGUAUUAUGGUUGGUGACCCAAAGCAGCUUCCAGCGACAGUUCUUUCUAGUGUUGCUAGUAAAUUCCAGUAUGAAUGCAGUAUGUUUGAACGUUUACAGAGGGCCGGUCAUCCUGUCAUUAUGCUGACCAAACAGUAUAGAAUGCACCCAGAAAUAUGUCAGUUUCCUUCAUUGCAUUUUUAUGAUGGAAAGCUGCUAAAUGGUGAAAAAAUGUCUAGCAAGUCAGCUCCAUUUCAUGAAAUUGAGGGUCUCGGACCAUAUGUCUUCUAUGACAUUGUUGAUGGCCAAGAGCAUCGUGGUAAGAACUCUGGUGCAUUGUCCCUUUACAAUGAGCAUGAGGCUGAAGCUGCAGUUGAAGUUCUUAGGUUAUUCAAGAAAAGGUGCCCAUCUGAAUUUAUUGGUGGAAGAAUUGGCAUCAUAACUCCAUACAAAAGUCAACUCUCUCUUUUACGUUCUCGUUUUUUAAGUGCAUUUGGAUCUUCUGUUAUAGAUGAUAUGGAAUUAAAUACCGUGGAUGGUUUCCAAGGUCGGGAGGUUGAUAUAAUUUUACUUUCAACUGUUAGGGCAGGGGAUCCGAACUCUGCCCUUCGGAUCAAGUCAAGCAACAUUGGGUUUGUAGCUGAUGUAAGAAGGAUGAAUGUGGCUUUGACAAGAGCCAAGCUCUCGCUCUGGGUCUUGGGUAAUGCCAGGACUUUGAUGACAAACCAUAACUGGGCUGCUCUUUUAAAGGAUGCUAAAGCAAGAAACUUGGUUAUCUCAGUCAAAAUGCCAUAUGGGUCGAUGUUUAAAACAGCCUUUUGUAGAAAUGAUGUUCCAGGAAUUUCUGUUAACCACUCAGGACAGAAGAAAUAUGUUGAAAAGGUUUAUGAUGCUAGUUGGCAUGCAAAACAAACUGUACGCAAUACAAAUCAAAGCUUUGAAAGGGAAAAAAGGAAUGUAGGCUGUGCAAAUCAGAGUAAAAGAAUAGGUAUAGGAGACGAAAAGUAUUUGGCUGCGACUAAAGAUUCAUCUUUAGUAGCAAAUGGUAAGAACAGAACUUCUGAGGAUGUUAAGCGUGCAAACUCAGGGAAACAUGCUAGAGUGGGUGAAAGGAAGGGCAAAGAGAGUAGUGAAAAGAAAGUCGGUUUGGGGAAUACUGAUAUGAGCAAAAGGAAGCAUGAAUUUGACAAAUCUAAUAAUCAUUCAAACCAUUCUGAACGAGAAUUGGCUGAUGGUCAUAAACUCUCGAAAUCACAUGUGUCAAAAAAACUGAAGAAAUCCUCUGAUGGUGGUAGAAGCGAGCAGGGGAAUCAGGCAACUCAAUUAACUGAAGUCAGCUUUAAGGAGAGAGAUGCAAAUGUCAGAGGUAAAGCCCCCAGUCAGGUAGGCCGUGCUGAAGAUUUGAUUGAAAAAAGGAAACAACGUGAAGCUGUUGAUGCUAUUCUUUGUUCUUCACUGAUAUCUUCCAAGAAGUCUGAAAUGUCAAUGAAACCUCUGCCUGCCAAAAGGUCUUUUUCGUCAUCAUCAAAUGUUAGUGGUGGCAUAAAACCUCACAAAACAAGUAAAGUUCCACCAGCGUCUUCAACAAGUGCAUCAGAAAACCAGAUCCAUAAGCAUCGCAGUAAGAAAUAAAAUUCUUUUGAGUUCCUAGGACUUGGGUGAAGCUUGAAGUCCUUAGUUUCCAAAUUGAAGCUUUGCGAUCGAUGGCAUUACUUGAACCGGAAUGGAGAGUUUUGGCGCAUUUGGCAUGCCAACAGUAAGGUAAUUGGUGGAAUUCCUGCUGGUAUACCCACACAUCAAAUACAUCAUGGUAACCAGAAACUGUCAUAGACGAGUUUUUAACAGGUUACUGGUACUUACUAUUGGGGAAAAAAACAAAUCUUAACUGGAGGUACUGAAAAAGUUAUUUUAGUGGAAAAAUCUUGAAACAGGAUGCGGUGACAAUCCCAUAUUUACCCCAUCCAAUGAGAAGGGGAUACAUGCUCUUUAGGAUAAUUACAGUAAAAGCGGGUGUAGAUGAUCAUACGAACUCUCUGAGUCUCUCCUCCUCAGUCUCUCUCUUUCUUCUCAAGCCUCCCUCUCUCUCUCUCUGCUCAAGCCGAGGCCAUGAAGCGUUCAAUCUCCCCCAAGUCGCUCUCUUUCUCUCUACCCUCAUACACCAGGACCUGCUACAAGUGUUAAAGUCGCCACAAUUUUGGAGAUAGCAAAUGAUGUUCCCAAGGGGUUUAGCAGCAUGCUGCUUCUACGGCGAUGGGCGGACGUUAGGUUAGUAUUACGUUUUGGAUUGUCCAGCUCUGAAGCUGCAAUUGGGUUGUGAGGUGUCUGGCAUCAUAAUCCAAGGCAAUGGACCUCGCGACUCGCUGCCAAUUGCAGGGAACUCUUUGCAAACAUUUCCUGAAAAGUCUAUACAGAAUACUCUGGCGGGCGUGUUAUCGUCAAUUGCUGAUCGCUGCAUUGCAGUAUGUGUUAUCGUCAUUUGGAUUUGUGCUUGAUUUUAAGGUAUUGCGCAUGUACAGAAGGUCCCAUGCAAGCCUGUAACCAGAGAAUUAGCAAAAUGGUUAGUGAAACGGAAACAAAAACAAAAACAAUUUUUUUUUUUGUGAAUCUUUUGACCGCAUCAAGGAAAAUCGUUAAAAAUUUAUAUUUUCUUUUUGAGAGAGAAUCGCGCCUAGCCAUGGCUUUGACAUUUGUAAUUAGUGGUGAUUUUUACUUAUUUUGAUGUGUUUUUCUCCUA